rnacentral:rRNA from 1 species
UACGAAGGGGGCUAGCGUUGCUCGGAAUCACUGGGCGUAAAGCGCCCGUAGGCGGCUUGCUAAGUCAGGGGUGAAAUCCUGGAGCUCAACUCCAGAACUGCCUUUGAUACUGGCGAUCUCGAGUCCGGGAGAGGUGAGUGGAACUGCGAGUGUAGAGGUGAAAUUCGUAGAUAUUCGCAAGAACACCAGUGGCGAAGGCGGCUCACUGGCCCGGUACUGACGCUGAGGUGCGAAAGCGUGGGGAGCAAACAGG